CUUUAUGGUAUACGCUAUGACAACUGGAUCCAUAUUUAGAAAAAAUGAAGAAUUCUCUUCUGGCAAUUUUGACAAGCUACCCUGUACUCUAGUACAAGGUCUUUAAAUACAUUGGGACUCUCCCCUGGUCAGGGGUUGGGUCUCAGUAUCGUUGGUGGGCGUGGCUCUCCCACUAGGGACGUACCCAUUUACGUAAAGAGGAUCCUACCUGAGUCAGUGUUACAGAAAGACUCAAAGAUAAAGACUGGAGAUGAACUGGUAGCAGUUAAUGAUUUAAUAAUACAUAAUGUAACUAAGGACUAUGCUACUGAAGCUCUUAAUAAUGUAUAGGGAGCAGUGAGACUACUACUGAUACAGGACCUAUGAA